ensembl:snRNA
ACCAUCCUUCUCGUGGGGUUGUGUUACUGUCCAGUGAGCGCAUGGUGAGGGCAAUACCGCUAACGCCUACACAACACACCCACAUCAACUACGGUGGUGCAAUUUUUUGAAAA